GACGGGUAGCCGGCCUGAGAGGGCGACCGGCCACACUGGGACUGAGACACGGCCCAGACUCCUACGGGAGGCAGCAGUGGGGAAUAUUGCACAAUGGGCGAAAGCCUGAUGCAGCGACGCCGCGUGAGGGAUGACGGCCUUCGGGUUGUAAACCUCUUUCAGCAGGGAAGAAGCGAAAGUGACGGUACCUGCAGAAGAAGCGCCGGCUAACUACGUGCCAGCAGCCGCGGUAAUACGUAGGGCGCGAGCGUUGUCCGGAAUUAUUGGGCGUAAAGAGCUCGUAGGCGGCUUGUCGCGUCGGUUGUGAAAGCCCGGGGCUUAACCCCGGGUCUGCAGUCGAUACGGGCAGGCUAGAGUUCGGUAGGGGAGAUCGGAAUUCCUGGUGUAGCGGUGAAAUGCGCAGAUAUCAGGAGGAACACCGGUGGCGAAGGCGGAUCUCUGGGCCGAUACUGACGCUGAGGAGCGAAAGCGUGGGGAGCGAACAGGAUUAGAUACCCUGGUAGUCCACGCCGUAACGGUGGGCACUAGGUGUGGGCGACAUUCCACGUCGUCCGUGCCGCAGCUAACGCAUUAAGUGCCCCGCCU
rnacentral:rRNA from 1 species